CCAUAAACACUUGCUGAAGAAUGAACGGGUGCCCCUCCGUCAGGGGAGGAAACAGGCCCAGGCAGUUCCCUAAGGCCCUCUCUGCCUUAGCCGCAAGGAGAGAGAAGCCAUGUACUCGUGCUGAGUGUCAGCUCUACUCGGGGCCAUCUGCAGCAACGUGAUUUGAUAUGAAAAUACCUGUGGUUUUCAACUGGAGAUAAAGUCACAAGUCCUGCUGUUGCCUUCGUUCAUAAUUAAGGAAAUGGUGAAAAAACUGAGACACGGAGAAAAAGAACAGAAUGGAGCAUCCUGGCUUCCGUGGGAAACCCUGGGCUGCAGAUGGAUACAUUUAACCACCUGCAGACAGGUGUGGUUGGCCCGCUCGCUUCUUCGACAAGACAAGGACAACCUUCCAGUUUAGGUCUAUGAUCCUAUCCAACCUCUCGUCCUCCUGUGCCGGGGAGGACAGCUCUCCACGUGGGUGCCCAUUUUUUUCAGUCCUGCACACGUGUACAUGAAUCCGUGAAUGUGACAUUUCGUAUUCCUCAGUCUGGUUUGGCUUUUUUUCUGACAUCCGCCAGAAGUCAGCCAACUUUUUUUCUGUAAAGGACCAGAUAGUAAAUAUCGUUGUUACAACCACUCCGUGCUACAGUUGCAGCUUGAAAGGGGUCACAGGUGAUACAUCAAGAAAUGAUCACGGCUGUGUCGUGUCAGUAAAACUUUAUUUACAAAACCAGGCGGCGGGCCGGACAAUGGCUGUAGUCAGCCGACUUGACAUGGAUGGUGUAUUUAGCUUUAUUCUAUCAAUGUCUCUUAACAUGUUUCUAAUCCAAUAUAUGUAACCCCAUUUUUUUUCAUUAAAAAGUAUUGGGGGACAUUAAUAACCAUUUUUUAAGCGGGUUAUGUCUAAGCAUGACUGUGUCACGACUUAUUGAGUCCCCCGUCGUGGGAUGUGCCGGCUGCUUCACUGUUCCCCCAAACAGGCGUCAUUACCUGACAAGUCAGGAACACAGUACGGGGUGAGCGGAAGCCCGAGUGCUGGGUUUGAAUCCUUACUCUGACACUUACCAGCUGUGAGGUGGGGCCGAGGGUGAGCCCUGUGAGUUGUGCCUCGGUUUCCCUUUGUGACGUGGAGAUAUCAGCAUCUGCCCACAGGGUUUCUGUAGGGUAGCUCUCGAGAAGGGAAACUUCUGGGACUUCUCCCACGUGGAGAAGAUGCAUUCUCGCUCUUGCUAAAUAUUGGCCAUCAUUCUCCAGACCAGCGCUCCCUGUUUGCACUCCCACCAGAAGUGAACAAAGGGCUCACUUCCCCCGUCCACCACCGAAUGUUACUUUCACUUCUAAAAUUUGCAUUUGAAGUAUAAUUCAUAGGUGCUAAAGUGCAUAAAUCUUAAACGGACAGCUCAGUGGACUUUUGCAAAAGCACGUACUCUUCGUAGCCACCACCCAGAUCAUUUCCAGGCCCCAGGAGUCCCGCUGGCCCCUUCAUUAGCCCCUGGCCGACUGCUAUUCAGACUUCUCUCAUGAUAGUUUAGUUCCAUCUGUCUCAAAACUUCAUUGACGUUUCACUCGCGAUCAUGCCUGUGAGUUUCAUCCACGUAAUUACAAAUACUGGUAAUUUAUCCUUGUUCCUUGUUACAUAAUAUUCCACAGAGUGACUGCCCACUUCGCUUCUCUGGAUGUGCACUUGGGUAGUGUUCCAGUUGGGGGCUGUUCCGAAUAAAGCUGCCGUGAACAUCUGCUCAGAUUUAGCGUGGGUAUGAACCCAAUAACAGGGCUGCUGAGACACUGGGGAGUAUCCCACGUGUUGCUU